AAUGUAGGCGAAAAGAGCAUACGGUGAAUGCCUUGGCAUUACAAGCCGAAGAAGGACGUGAUAAGCUGCGAUAAGCGUUAGGUAGGUGCAAACGACUGUUAAUCUAGCGAUGUCCGAAUAGGGAAACCUAAUCAUUGUAAAGAGUGAUUACCCGCUUGUGAACACAUAGCAAGUGUGGAGGAAUACGGAGGGAACUGAAACAUCUUAGUACCUCUAGGAAAAGAAAGAAAAAUCGAUUUUCUGAGUAGCGGCGAGCGAAAGGGAAAGAGCCUAAACCAUUUAAAGCAAUUUGAAUGGGGUUUUGGAAUAUCAAUAUUGACAUAAAAUUUAUAGCAGAAGCGGUUUGGAAAGACCCGCCAGAGAGAGUAAUAGUCUCGUAUGCGAAAUAGAUUUUAUACAUAGAUAUCUCCAGAGUAGUGCGGAACACGAGAAAUUCUGUAUGAAGACAGGGGGACCACCCCCUAAGGCUAAAUACUAUGUAAUGACCGAUAGCGAACUAGUACCGUGAGGGAAAGGUGAAAAGAACCCCGGGAGGGGAGUGAAAUAGAAUUUGAAACCAUAUGCUUACAAGCAGAGGAAGCGGACUUGAUCCGUGACCUCGUACUUUUUGUAGAACGGGCAUGCGAGUUAUGGUAUAUAGCAAGGUUAAGGUGUUUAGCACCGGAGCCGAAGCGAAAGCGAGUCUUAACUGGGCGAUUAAGUUAUAUGCUGUAGACCCGAAACCAGGUGACCUAUCCAUGUGCAGGUUGAAGUAGGAGUAAAAUCUUAUGGAGGACCGAACCCGUGUCGGUUAAAAACGGCUGGGAUGACGUGUGGAUAGCGGUGAAAUUCCAAUCGAACCUGGAUAUAGCUGGUUCUCCUCGAAAUAGCUUUAGGGCUAGCGUGGAUAUAGUUUAACGGGGGUAGAGCACUGAAUGUUUGAGGGCCCUUCACCGGGUACCGAUAACUAUCAAACUCCGAAUACCGUUUAAAUGUUUAUCUGCAGUCAGACUAUGGGAGAUAAGUUUCAUGGUCAAAAGGGAAAGAGCCCAGACCCGCAGCUAAGGUCCCUAAAUAUAGGUUAAGUGUGAAAGGAUGUGAAAUUUCUAAAACAGCUAGGAUGUUGGCUUAGAAGCAGCCAUUCAUUUAAAGAGUGCGUAACAGCUCACUAGUCGAGCAAUCUUGCGCCGAAGAUAAACGGGGCUAAACCUAUUACCGAAGCUUGGGAUUGGCAAAUUUAUUUGUCAGUGGUAGAGGAGCAUUGUAUAAGGGUUGAAGUGAAAGCCGUAAGGCAUCGUGGACUUUAUAGAAGAGAGAAUGCAUGCAUGAGUAGCGUAAGUGGUGUGAGAAUCACCACCGCCGAAAAUCCAAGGUUUCCUGAGGAAGGUUCGUCCGCUCAGGGUAAGUCGGGACCUAAGAUGAGGCCGAAAGGCGUAGUUGAUGGACAUCAGGCAUAAAAUUCCUGAACUGCCGAGAGUUGUUUGAAAGAUGCUAGGACGCAAGAGGAUGCGAAGUGCCAGUUAAUGGUAUACUGGUCCAAAUAUCAAGUUAGGAGUUGUUGUUAAGUACGCAAUUCCGUUUUAAUGCGAGAUAUGAUGGGGAGGGAAAUUUAGUACCGAAGCUUUUUAGUUCAUAUUGCCAAGAAAAGUAGCUAUUUAGACUCAAGGUACCCGUACCGCAAACCGACACAGGUAGAUGAGGAGAGAAUCCUAAGGUGAGCGAGAAAACUAUUGUUAAGGAACUCGGCAAAAUGACCCCGUAACUUCGGGAGAAGGGGUGCCCUCUUUUGAGGGCUGCAAAAAAAUGGCCCAGGCGACUGUUUACCAAAAACACAGGUCUCUGCUAAAGCGAAAGCUGAUGUAUAGGGGCUGACGCCUGCCCAGUGCCGGAAGGUUAAGAGAGGAUGUUCGUGUUUUACACAAAGCAUUUGAUUUAAGCCCCGGUGAACGGCGGCCGUAACUAUAACGGUCCUAAGGUAGCGAAAUUCCUUGUCGGGUAAGUUCCGACCUGCACGAAAGGCGUAACGAUCUGGGCACUGUCUCAACAAUAGACUCGGUGAAAUUGUAGUACCGGUAAAGAUGCCGGUUACCCGCAGCAGGACGGAAAGACCCCGUGGAGCUUUACUGCAACUUGAUAUUGGAUUUUUGUAUUAAAUGUACAGGAUAGAUGGGAGACUUUGAAAUAAGGACGUCAGUUUUUAUGGAGUCGUUGUUUGGAUACCAUCCUUUUAAUAUGCAAAUUCUAACUUUGUUGCGGACUCAGGAAGGAGGACAGUGUCUGGUGGGCAGUUUGUGUGGGGCGGGCGCCUCCUUAAGUGUAUCGGUGGCUCGGG
rnacentral:rRNA from 1 species